rnacentral:rRNA from 1 species
AGUGAACGCUGGCGGCGUGCUUAACACAUGCAAGUCGAACGGGUAAGUGCUGUAGCAAUACAGAUUACUGCUAGUGGCAGACGGGUGAGUAAUAUAUGGGAAUCUGCCCUGGAGUUCGGGAUAACAGUUGGAAACGACUGCUAAUACCGAAUAUUGCCGAGAGGCGAAAGAAUUUCGCUCCAGGAUGAGCCCAUAUGGGAUUAGCUAGUUGGUAGGGUAAUGGCCGACCAAGGCUACGAUCUCUAGCUGGGCUUAGAGGACGAACAGCCGGACUGGAACUGAGACACGGUCCAAGCUCGUACGGGAGGCAGCAGGGGGGAAUAUUGGACAAUGGGCGAAAGCCUGAUCCAGCGACGCCGCGUGGGUGAUGAAGGCCUUCGGGUUGUAAAGCCCUUUCGGCAGGGAAGAUUAUGACGGUACCUGCAAAAGAAGCUCCGGCUAACUUCGUGCCAGCAGCCGCCGUAA